AGCUUGACUUGAAGAUUUUGGACUUUCUAAAGCUUGGUUUUCAAGAUUUCUUCAAGAUUGAGAUUUGAGCUUGGAUUGAAGUGUGGAGAUAGGAGGAGAGGUGGUUGUCCUAGGGUUUGAAGAUUUGGGCAAGGUUGAUUGGGCUUGGAAGAGUUGUGGGUUGGCCAAAACGAGGU